CCUUACGGUGUGUUCACACCGAACGUGAUGGACGCGAAUAAAACGCCCCUAAUUUGACGCGUGCACAUUCGCGUCUCAACGCGUGUCCAACAAAAGUCCAUCGCGUGUCAAAAUAUGAUAUAUUUAGAGUCUCCCUUCUCUAUGUACUGUGGAGAGCAGAGCAGCGGCGUAAAAGACGUCCUCGCCGUACCUGGGUCCAUCAGGUCCUCCAGAGGCAUGAGCAGUUUGGUGAGUUUCACCAUUUGCUCCAGGAGCUGCGCCUGGAUGACGGCCGAUUCCAGCGCUAUCACCGUCGGCCAGUUUGAGGACCUGCUUUCCCUCGUCGGUCCCAGCAUCACCCGCCUAGACACCAACUACAGGUGCUCAAUCCCACCUGCAGAGCGCCUGUCCGUCUGCCUGAGGUUCCUUGUCAGCGGGGACUCCUUCACGACCAAGCAUUCAGUUACAGAGUCGGUGUGUCCACGGUGAGCCAGAUCACCCUCCAGACAGCGACGUCCAUCUGGGACUGUCUAGUGGACAACUUCAUGGCUGUGCCUUCACCUGGAGACUGGCGGUCCAUCACAGAGGGAUUCCAGGAGCGCUGGAACUUUCCUCUGUGCUGUGCAGCUCUGGAUGGGAAGCACAUCCAGACAAAGGCACCCCAUAUAUCAUAUAGGAGACACACACAUUGAUAUACACUAAAUAUUUAUUUUAUUUCUUUUUUGUGGUGCCCAAAUUUAUGCACCUGCUUGAUUUUGUUUAAACAAUUAUUGCACACUUUCUGUAAAUCCAGUAAACUUCUUUUCACUUCUCAAAUAUCACUGUGUGUGUCUCCUGUAUGAUAUUUAACUGACAUUUUUUAUUGUAACAACCAAGGAUUUAUACAGGAAAAUAAUGUCUAUUAACAAGGUUGCCCAAACUUUUGCAUCCCACUGUAUUAGUAUAUUUUGUCAUUAGUAUAAUAUGAAAUAAAUUCUACAUGUGUCAAGUUGUGUGCCAAC
ensembl:lncRNA